GUAGUCCACGCUGUAAACGAUGAGUGUUAGGUGUUGGGAUCGCAAGAUUUCAGUGCCGUAGCUAACGCGUUAAACACUCCGCCUGGGGAGUAAGGUCGCAAGAUUAAAACUCAAAGGAAUUGACGGGGACCUGCACAAGUGGUGGAACAUGCGGUUUAAUUCGAUGUUACGCGAAAAACCUUACCAACUCUUGACAUAGUGGUCGCGAGGCUCGGAAACGAGUUUCUUCAGUUCGGCUGGACCACAUACAGGUGUUGCAUGGCUGUCGUCAGCUCGUGUUGUGAGAUGUUAGGUUAAGUCCUGCAACGAGCGCAACCCCUAUCCUUAUUUGCCAGCGGGUAAUGCCGGGAACUAUAAGGAAACCGCCAGUUAUAAACUGGA
rnacentral:rRNA from 1 species